UCCGGUUUGACACCGGCAGUCUCGCUAGAGUACUCGGCAUUACCCGUGAGCAACUAACGACAGGGGUUGCGCUCGUUAAGGGACUUAACCCGACACUUCACAGCACGAGCUGACGACAGCCAUGCAGCACCUGUGACCGUUCCACUCUUGCGAGUGUGGCCCCUCUUUCAAGGGGUUAAUCCGGCCAUGUCAAGCCCAGGUAAGGUUCUUCGCGUUGCCUCGAAUUAAGCAACAUGCUCCACCGCUUGUGUGAGCCCCCGUCAAUUCAUUUGAGUUUUAGCCUUGCGACCGUACUCCCCAGGCGGUGCACUUAUCGUUUUUACUGCGACUGAUACGGCGUCAAAACCGCACCAGUCUAGUGCACAUCGUUUACGGCGUGGACUAC
rnacentral:misc_RNA from 1 species